UACGGAGGGGACUAGCGUUGUUCGGAAUGACUGGGCGUAAAGCGCACGUAGGCGGAUUUGUAAGUCAGGGGUGAAAUCCCGGGGCUCAACCUCGGAACUGCCUUUGAUACUGCAAAUCUCGAGUCCGGAAGAGGUGAGUGGAAUUCCUAGUGUAGAGGUGAAAUUCGUAGAUAUUAGGAAGAACACCAGUGGCGAAGGCGGCUCACUGGUCCGGUACUGACGCUGAGGUGCGAAAGCGUGGGGAGCAAACAGG
rnacentral:rRNA from 1 species